CGAAGGUUAAGCUACUAAGGGCGCACGGUGGAUGCCUUGGCACUAGAAGCCUAAGAAGGACGGGACGAACACCGAUAUGCUUCGGGGAGCUGUAAGUACGCUUUGAUCCGGAGAUUUCCGAAUGGGGGAACCCACCAUCUUUAAUAGGAUGGUAUCCAUUUCUGAAUACAUAGGGAAUGGAAGGCAGACCCGGGGAACUGAAACAUCUCAUUACCCGGAGGAAGAGAAAGCAAAUGCGAUUUCCUGAGUAGCGGCGAGCGAAACGGAAUCAGCCCAAACCAGAGGGCUUGCCCUCUGGGGUUGUAGGACGUCUCUUUGGAGUUACAAAGGCACGGAUAGACGAAGCGACCUGGAAAGGUCCAUCACAGAAGGUAACAAUCCUGUAGUCAAAAUCCGCUGCCCUCCGAGACGGAUCCUGAGUACGGCGGGACACGUGAAACCCCGUCGGAAUCUGGGAGGACCAUCUCCCAAGGCUAAAUACUCUCUAGUGACCGAUAGUGAACCAGUACCGUGAGGGAAAGGUGAAAAGCACCCCGGAAGGGGAGUGAAAGAGAACCUGAAACCGUGUGCCUACAACUAGUUGGAGCCCGUUAAUGGGUGACAGCGUGCCUUUUGUAGAAUGAACCGGCGAGUUACGAUCCCGUGCAAGGUUAAGCUGAUAAGGCGGAGCCGCAGCGAAAGCGAGUCUGAAUAGGGCGAAAUAGUACGUGGUCGUAGACCCGAAACCAGGUGAUCUACCCAUGUCCAGGGUGAAGUUCAGGUAACACUGAAUGGAGGCCCGAACCCACGCAUGUUGAAAAAUGCGGGGAUGAGGUGUGGGUAGCGGUGAAAUGCCAAUCGAACCUGGAGAUAGCUGGUUCUCUCCGAAAUAGCUUUAGGGCUAGCCUCGCGGCAAGAAUCUUGGAGGUAGAGCACUGAUUGGACUAGGGGUCCUUACCGGAUUACCGAAUCCAGUCAAACUCCGAAUGCCAACGAUUUAUCCGCGGGAGUCAGACUGCGAGUGAUAAGAUCCGUAGUCGAGAGGGAAACAGCCCAGACCACCAGCUAAGGUCCCAAAGUAUACGUUAAGUGGAAAAGGAUGUGGCGUUGCUUAGACAACCAGGAUGUUGGCUUAGAAGCAGCCAUCAUUUAAAGAGUGCGUAAUAGCUCACUGGUCGAGUGACGCUGCGCCGAAAAUGUACCGGGGCUAAAACGUAUCACCGAAGCUGUGGAUUGUCUUACGACAAUGGUAGGAGAGCGUUCUAAGGGCUGUGAAGUCAGACCGAAAGGACUGGUGGAGCGCUUAGAAGUGAGAAUGCCGGUAUGAGUAGCGAAAGACAAGUGAGAAUCUUGUCCGUCGAAAGCCCAAGGUUUCCUGAGGAAGGCUCGUCCGCUCAGGGUUAGUCGGGACCUAAGCCGAGGCCGAAAGGCGUAGGCGAUGGAUAACAGGUUGAUAUUCCUGUACCACCUCCUUUCCGUUUGAACGACGGGGGGACGCAGAAAGAUAGGGAGAGCGCGCUGCUGGAAAUGCGCGUCCAAGCGAUUAGGCUGGUGAAUAGGUAAAUCCGUUCACCGUGAAGGCUGAGUCGUGAUGGCGAGGGAAAUUUAGUACCGAAGUCCUUGAUUCUACGCUGCCAAGAAAAGCCUCUAGUGAGGAAAGAGGUGCCCGUACCGCAAACCGACACAGGUAGGCGAGGAGAGAAUCCUAAGACGAUCGGGAGAACUCUCGUUAAGGAACUCGGCAAAAUGACCCCGUAACUUCGGGAGAAGGGGUGCUUCCUCGGGUUAAUAGCCCAGGGGAGCCGCAGUGAAAAGAUCCAAGCGACUGUUUAGCAAAAACACAGGUCUCUGCAAAGCCGUAAGGCGAAGUAUAGGGGCUGACACCUGCCCGGUGCUGGAAGGUUAAGAGGAGGGGUUAUCCCUUACGGGAGAAGCUCUGAAUCCCUUACGGGAGAAGCUCUGAAUCGAAGCCCCAGUAAACGGCGGCCGUAACUAUAACGGUCCUAAGGUAGCGAAAUUCCUUGUCGGGUAAGUUCCGACCCCGCACGAAAGGUGCAACGACUUGGAUACUGUCUCAACGAGAGACCCGGUGAAAUUAUAGUACCUGUGAAGAUGCAGGUUACCCGCGACAGGACGGAAAGACCCCAUGGAGCUUUACUGUAGCCUGAUAUUGGAUUUUGGUACAGCUUGUACAGGAUAGGUAGGAGCCAUAGAAGUCGGACCGCCAGGUUCGAUGGAGGCGUCGGUGGGAUACUACCCUGGCUGUACUGACAUUCUAACCCAGCACCGUGAUCCGGUGCGGAGACAGUGUCAGGUGGGCAGU
rnacentral:rRNA from 1 species